rnacentral:rRNA from 1 species
GAUGAACGCUGGCGGCGUGCCUAAUACAUGCAAGCCGAGCGAACGGACGAGAAGCUUGCUUCUCUGAUGUUAGCGGCGGACGGGUGAGUAACACGUGGAUAACCUACCUAUAGGACUGGGAUAACUUCGGGAAACCGGAGCUAAUACCGGAUAAUAUUUUGAACCGCAUGGUUCAAAAGUGAAAGACGGUCUUGCUGUCACUUAUAGAUGGAUCCGCGCUGCAUUAGCUAGUUGGUAAGGUAACGGCUUACCAAGGCAACGAUGCAUAGCCGACCUGAGAGGGUGAUCGGCCACACUGGAACUGAGACACGGUCCAGACUCCUACGGGAGGCAGCAGUAGGGAAUCUUCCGCAAUGGGCGAAAGCCUGACGGAGCAACGCCGCGUGAGUGAUGAAGGUCUUCGGAUCGUAAAACCCUGUUAUUAGGGAAGAACAUAUGUGUAAGUAACUGUGCACAUCUUGACGGUACCUAAUCAGAAAGCCACGGCUAACUACGUG